rnacentral:rRNA from 1 species
AGCAGGAUCUACAUUCCCUAAAGGCUCCAUACCCCAUUUGAUCUUGAAAGCUAAGCAGGGUAAGCUCUAGUUAGUACUUGGAUGGGACACCACCCAUUAAUAUCAGAUGCUACUGCAG